rnacentral:rRNA from 1 species
UCGGGUUGUAAAGCACUUUUGUCCGGAAAGAAAACUUCGGCCCUAAUACGGCGGGAGGAUGACGGUACCGGAAGAAUAAGCACCGGCUAACUACGUGCCAGCAGCGCGGUAAUCGUAGGGUGCGAGCGUUAAUCGGAAUUACUGGGCGUAAAGCGUGCGCAGGCGGUUCGUUAAGACAGAUGUGAAAUCCCCGGGCUUAACCUGGGAACUGCGUUUGUGACUGGCGAGCUAGAGUAUGGCAGAGGGGGGUAGAAUUCCACGUGUAGCAGUGAAAUGCGUAGAGAUGUGGAGGAAUACCGAUGGCGAAGGCAGCCCCCUGGGCCAAUACUGACGCUCAUGCACGGAAGCGUGGGGAGCAAACAGGAUUAGAUACCCUGGUAGUCCACGCCCUAAACGAUGUCAACUAGUUGUUGGGGAUUCAUUUCCUUAGUAACGUAGCUAACGCGUGAAGUUGACCGCCUGGGGAGUACGGUCGCAAGAUUAAAACUCAAAGGAAUUGACGGGGACCCGCACAAGCGGUGGAUGAUGUGGAUUAAUUCGAUGCAACGCGAAAAACCUUACCUACCCUUGACAUGUAUGGAACCCUGCUG